AUACGGAGGGUGCAAGCGUUACUCGGAAUCACUGGGCGUAAAGCGCGCGCAGGCGGGCUGAUAAGUUGGAUGUGAAAGCCUACGGCUCAACCGUAGAACUGCAUCCAAAACUGUCAGUCUAGAGUCUGGGAGGGGAAGAUGGAAUUAGUUGUGUAGGGGUAAAAUCCGUAGAGAUAACUAGGAAUACCAAAAGCGAAGGCGAUCUUCUGGAACAGUACUGACGCUGAGGCGCGAAGGCGUGGGGAGCAAACAGGAUUAGAAACCCCAGUAGUCC
rnacentral:rRNA from 1 species